UUUGCACAUACUUCACAAAGAACACAGGAAAUAACAUUUCCUGCUCUAAUUGUGUCAGUUUCUGACAACGGCUAUAGCCUACACAGCAGGGUAAUUCAACAUUCACAAGACUUGUAAGUUACAUUGUAAAAUGGCUUCUUCCUUGAAACGACGCAAAACGUGCUUGAUGCUAAAAGUGAAUAUAUAGGAAAUGGAGGCUCUGCAGAGGAAGCACAAAAAAAACGCCAUACCUUGAUGAUAACGAUACCUCAGAUGGAAUAAGGGAAGAACAGACAGAGCCAUCUGUUCCUGACUGUCAGUCCAUGAAGAGCGAAAAAUCCAUACAUCUUCCACUACAUUUCAACGGUGUCUACCCCACCUCUGAUAGGU